rnacentral:rRNA from 1 species
AUUGAACGCUGGCGGCAGGCCUAACACAUGCAAGUCGAGCGGAUGAAGGGAGCUUGCUCCUGGAUUCAGCGGCGGACGGGUGAGUAAUGCCUAGGAAUCUGCCUGGUAGUGGGGGAUAACGUCCGGAAACGGGCGCUAAUACCGCAUACGUCCUGAGGGAGAAAGUGGGGGAUCUUCGGACCUCACGCUAUCAGAUGAGCCUAGGUCGGAUUAGCUAGUUGGUGGGGUAAAGGCCUACCAAGGCGACGAUCCGUAACUGGUCUGAGAGGAUGAUCAGUCACACUGGAACUGAGACACGGUCCAGACUCCUACGGGAGGCAGCAGUGGGGAAUAUUGGACAAUGGGCGGAAGCCUGAUCCAGCCGUGCCGCGUGUGUGAAGAAGGUCUUCGGAUUGUAAAGCACUUUAAGUUGGGAGGAAGGGCAGUAAGUUAAUACCUUGCUGUUUUGACGUUACCAACAGAAUAAGCACCGGCUAACUUCGUG